GACAUUGGUGUUGAAUGGCCCUGGUUGAAAUCCUAUCCCAACUUUGUUCUUAUUUUCAGCGAUCUCCACAACACGGCCCCAUUUAUCAAUGCUGCCAGCCUUAAUAGCUUCUUGCGUAUCUUUCAAAGAAUACAUGGGUACCCCAAUUUUCCUCAUUUCAUCGGCAACUGAUAAGUCUUGGAACGGUGUUCCAACCUCCUCUUUAGCAUCAACGUACGUGAAAGAUGAAAAAUGACUCACCAAUA
rnacentral:lncRNA from 1 species